rnacentral:tRNA from 1 species
GCCUUCGUGGUGUAACGGUUAGCACACUCGGCGCGUAUUCGAGAGGUCCAGGUUCGAGUCCCGGUCAGGACA